AACUAGAGAGCUUGUAAAUAGCACUUGACUUUUAAUCAAGAGAAAAUAUUAAUAUUUCUGGUUA
rnacentral:tRNA from 1 species